UUGAAGACAGAGUGUUGCUAUGUAGUCCAGCUGGCUUCAAACUUGCAGGGAUCAUCCUGACUCAGCUUCCCAAGUGCUGGGUCCAGAGGACACUGCCAUGCUGGGUAGGAGUUUUGCUUUCUAAUGAUACAACAUAAACACGGGCAAAGUGGACUGCUACCGGGCUUGACAGACGCAGCUGUAAGGCCAAGUGCCUCCCUGAGGCUCUGGCUUUAAAUUAUCGCAUCUAGGCAGAUCCCUCUGCUGGUGACUCCUCUCACUCAGCUGCACCUCAAAGGACGGCGUGUGUGGGACAGAAGGCCAACAGGACACAGGGCCAAGGAGGAGGAACGGAGGAAGGCAGCUGGGUAGGGUGGCGCACAGCAUCAUCCCAGCACUGGGGAGGCCGAGGCAGGAGGACGGCUUUGUGGGCAGUCCAGGACACCCAGGGAAUUCAAGGCCAGCUACACAGCAAAGACCCUGUCUCAAAAACAGGAGGAAGAAUGUAGCAAGAUGCAGACACACAGCCGGACUUUCAGACGAUGAGAAUCGUGAGUCCCUUCAGAUACCCAAGUUUUGAUGGCUGUCAACUGAGCAUGGCAAAAAUAAGUCGGAAACAUCCUGCCUGCCUCCCCUGGGAAGGCGGAGUGACUCAUCUGCAGGUCAGCCCCACCCGCAGCUGCCCAGGGGAGACCACCCACCUCUCAGGCUGGGUUCUGCACACCAGU